AUGGCCCGACGCCGGAGCAGCGGCGGCAUCUCGUCCGCGCUGAGCCUGGGGCUCGCCGUGAUGGCCGUCACAUGGGCGACGUCCACGGCGCAGCAGCAGCAGCAGCAACCGCCGGCCGUGCCAAGCGUGAGCGUGCCGAGCUGCCCGCCGGUGCAGGCCUCGUUGUCGCCGUGCGUGAGCUACUUCAUCGGCAACUCCUCGUCGCCGUCUGACACGUGCUGCGUCCAGAUGCGGGCCCUGUUCCAGUCGGAGGCGCCCUGCCUCUGCGCCGCCGUGUCCGCCGUGCCGUCCCAGCUCGGGUCCGUGGUCGGCGGCCUGCUCCCCACCGCCUGCAACCUGCCCCCCAACGCCUGCUCCGGUACGUGCAUGCUGCCAGCGAGAUGCUCCUACAUGUAG
rnacentral:rRNA from 1 species